rnacentral:rRNA from 1 species
CGCCCCCCCCGCCGCGCGCGGCGGGCGGGGGSGGGGCACGGGGGGCSUACGGGAGGCAGCAGUAAGGAAUAUUGGWCAAUSAACSCAAGGGUGAUCCAGCCAUGCCGCGGCAGGAAGAMGGCCCUAUGGAUUGUAAACGGMUGGGUACAGGAGAAAACCCCUGAAMGAUAGCUAAUGWGAUUGUACGGAGAUAGGCUUCCUCC